rnacentral:lncRNA from 1 species
AUCACUCCCAACCGGCUGAAACAAGUUGAGAAAACCAUGCACACUAGUGAGAGUGGAUGUCCCAAGCACAAAGAGAACAUGGAAAGUAUGUUGAAUCCAGGCUGAUUUUAAUAUCAGCUCUGAGAAGCCUUCCCUAUUUCCCAAGAUAGAACGAACUGCUCCACAUCUGUGAUUCCUGGCAACAUCAUCUCUGUUGGAGAAGUGGCC